rnacentral:lncRNA from 1 species
UUCCUUUUAUUUGUGUGUUUCUCUUUUUAAUUUGAGAGCUUUUAUGAAAUACAUAUGCAAGUUGAAGAAUAAAUAUGCAUGCAAGUUAUCAAACAGACGUGUGUCGUUGUGCUCGUAAUAUGUGUCCGUUAGUGGACGGACCUUCACUCGCAUGCAUAUGAUGUUUCUUUUUGUUUAUUUCCAUGAUACUUUAUAUUUAUUAUAAAUGCGUUAAACUAUAUUAUUCGACGUUUGAUGGAAAAAAAAAAAAAGGGUAUUUGCUCAAUCAACAACGUUUGGGUAUUUUGUAUAUUUUUAGAUCGUAAGAAUAGAGAUUUUUGAUAAAAUUUAUUAUAUAUACCGUC